UCUGCUAUCAACACAGGGAAUGUUAUAUUCUGGUGGUAUGCUAAUACUGGGUUUCUAUAGGAUAGAAGAUGACAAAGUGUUGUGCCUAAUAAAAGGAGAACCUUUUUGUUUUUGUUUUUAAGUCCUAGAGUUGAUGGAGGGAAAGUUCCAAAAUCUCAACUUCUUUCAGGAAAAGGAACAGCAGCAGCUGACUGCAAAACCUCUGUACUUCUGCUGGGCAAAGUAGGAAUUUAAUUUCAAGACAACCGAUCGCUCAUCAUAAGACAACUGGACUUGGAAACCAGAAAGGCAGAUAUUGAAUGUAUUCCUUGCUCCUGCUCAAACAGGCUGAAUAGUUCCUCUUGGGAAGAUUUUCAACUAGCCAGUAGUCAAGACAGAACUCCAGGAUAGUGGAUCUCCUUUGGACUCUUCAGAGCCAAGUACUCUGUGUUACAAGAUGCUGGUGAACAGCUGAAUAUAACCUUCAAUGGAAGUGAUUUAACUACCUGUUCGUUCUAGCCUAGAAAUAAUUACAAUGAGUUACAGCUACUGACUACCUCGUGCUGUUUGUUAAACAGUCGCUCCAAACUGGAGGCAGAGGAGAAGUUUAAACAGGAAGCAUCCCCGCGGGUCUGUGACUUCUACCCGGAGCCAGCCCCGCAAUACGCCCGAGCGGCGGCGAGCCGAGAGAAGGCAGGCAGGAGGGACUGCUCCUCCGGCAGGAGGGACUGCUCCUCCGGCAGGAGGGAUUGCUCCUCCGGCAGGAGGGACCGCUCCUCCGGCAGGAGGGAUUGUUCCUCCGGCAGGAGGGAUUGCUGCCCCGGCAGGAGGGAUUGCUGCUCCGGCAGGAGGGACCGCUCCUCCGGCAGGAGGGACCGCUCCUCCGGCAGGAGGGACCGCUGCCCCGGCAGGAGGGAUUGUUCCUCCGGCAGGAGGGAUUACUCCUCUGGCAGGAUCAGGUUGCAGCCCUCCCUGCCUUUGGAGCUUUACACCACACCCCUGCAACGUGAAUUAGGAGGGGAGGAUCAUAUUCAGCUCUGAUUCAGGAAUUCCCUCUUUCUUCAAGAACUGUUGCUAGGAGUUUGGUGAGUACUUUGCAACAGACUUUCGGUUUUAACUGAGUAAUUCUUUUUCCUUCAGCUGCCGAAAGCAGCUGGUGGCCUUUCUUUAGAUGCAGUAGUAGUCAGAUGUUUAGAUUCAAAGUCCAGCGAAGAGUGCUGCAAAACUUCUUUUUCUCUACAAAUUUGACACAGCGGGACAAUGACUAUACUUGUAUGAUUAAUACAGCUAAUAUUUGGUUGCCAUAAUCUCAGUCUGAGGUAUUUUAAGCUCCAAAACGUUUCUUGGAAAGGAAGCCGUCCUAAAGUUGAAUAAGUUAAUUCUGAUCAAUAGCUCGAGUUUGAAGAAAAGCUCUUGCUUUUUAAAGCAAUUUCUCCACUGCAAUAGAUCCAAGAGAAACUUGAUUCAAGUAGGUUUGCCAGGCUGUUUCAAAUCAGUCUGAGGCAAAUGACAUCUGAAGCAAUUUAUAUUUUAAACAGUACAGGAAGAUUUUAAGAGAAUUAAAUUAAGCUGGAUGAGACAUAAGCCAAUUUCAUCCACAGUAUAUUUGAAAUUUACAAGAAACCCCAUUUUAAU
ensembl:lncRNA